GUAGGUAUAGUUUAAUUUAAAACACUAGAUUGUGGUUCUAGAAAUGGGAGUUAAAAUCCCCUUACCCACCGA
rnacentral:tRNA from 1 species